GCCGUCAUUGUUUGAAAGGAGGAGAUUCUGUGGUUUUAGAUCCCGAUGAAUAAGAUUAUUGUCCCGAAGUAUUUGCAGCCCAGCCGCUAGUUGCUGCAUGAAGUGCUUAGCAAUUGCUUCAGGGACUCGCCCAUGUCUUUGAAUAUACAUAUAUAGAUCACCCCCUUUGCAAUACUCCAACACAAUAUGCAUUCUCCCUGGCACCUGAAUAAUAUCGUGCAAGCAAAUAAUAUUCGGAUGGUUAAUCCUCUUCAAGAUAAAGAUCUCAUGCAUGAGACUAUCCUGCAACUUCUUAUUGAGUCGACUCAUAGCGAUCUCCUUUAUAGCCACCUCGGUACCAUGAAUCCAGUGCCUGCCAUGCCACACCACCGA
rnacentral:misc_RNA from 1 species